GUGGGUGAGGAGCAGGUCUGUAGAUGAGGAACAGGUCUGUGGAUGAGGAGCAGGUCUGUGGAUGAGGAGCAGGUCUGUGGAUGAGGAACAGGUCUGUGGA